rnacentral:lncRNA from 1 species
UCCUAUACAAGCAGGGUCCCAAAAAACCAAAAACUGCACUAAGUGUACAACCAGCACAAACAUCACCCUUCUAUCCCUGCAAUUAAAACGAGAGCAACAUGGCAGAUACACACAUGGUCUCACAACCACAAAUCAAUACAAGGCCACUUAUUAUGAUUGCUCCUAGGAAUACUUCGGAUGACUGCAGCACACAUUUUUUGUGACCACCAGACAGUAAAAUCAUUAGCACCAGCACUAAAUUAAAUUGCAGCAAACCAUCACAAUGUUCCAAUUCAGAGAUACUCCAGAGAGCUUCUAGGAUUGGAGAUCCAAUCGCACAUAGAGGCAUGGAACUUUUUGCUCCUAGCUUUCAACCAAUUCCAAGCUUUCAGUUGUGCUAUUUCCCAAACUCUUGCUGCAUCCUUCACCUCAUCCUUGAAAUGACACUGUUUCUGCAUAACCAAAUUGUCCAUAUCACCGCUAGCCAAACUGAUUUCGCCCCCCUUCGUUGUUCUGCAGUCCUCAAGUCCCCACCAUGUUGCAAGAAGUGGUCUUGACAUCCUUGAGGUAGAACAAUAGUUACACUCAACCACCUAUAGCAAGAGUCCCACUCCUUGGAAGAGAAGGAGCACGAGAAGAAAAUAUGGUCUGAUGUUUC